rnacentral:rRNA from 1 species
UACGUAGGGGGGCAAGCGUUGUCCGGAUUUAUUGGGCGUAAAGAGCGUGUAGGCGGUUUGGUAGGUCCGCUGUGAAAACUCGAGGCUCAACCUCGAGACGCCGGUGGAAACCAUCAGACUAGAGUCCGGAAGAGGAGAGUGGAAUUCCUGGUGUAGCGGUGAAAUGCGCAGAUAUCAGGGAAGAACACCCGUGGCUAAGGCGGCUCUCUAGUACGGUACUGGACGCUGAGACGCGAAAGCGUGGGGAGCGAACAGG